UGUUUACAUUAUUAACUUUUAUUACAUAUAAAGAAAGGGUUUGCUAGACAGAUGAAAUAAUGCAUGUAAAAUGCUUUGCAAAUUGGAAAUCUAGUUCUCAAUGUAAGACAUUAUUAGCUUUACUAUUGUGAAGAUUGAAUUUAGCUAUUUCCUGAUUGUAACAAUGAAGAUACUUAGUUCUUCCUUUGUUGUGAAGAUUAAAUUGUAAUCCCCUGAUUGUAACAAUGAAGGUACUUCCUUUAUUGGGAAGAUUGAAUUGUAAUACACAAUCUAUUUUUAGAUUUUAAUCUACAAAAAGGUGGUAACUCAGUAUUUUAAGUAGAUCUACCCAUUUUAACUAUAAAAAGGUGUUAAGUAACUACAAAAGGUGAACUAACCAAAAAAGGUGUUAAGUAACCCAAAAAGGUAUAAUCUAACCAAAGAAGGUGUGAACAAAAGAUGGGCAGUCCUGGAGAAAAGCGUCUGUUGUGAUUGGUAGAUAUGAAAUUUAGGGGAAGUGACACAAGAGAAAAAAAUCUUUAAAAAGAGGAUCAGAGGCCAGAAGAUGAUAUAUUCGAAUCAAGAUUCCAGUUAGAUGUAAGAACUCUGACUUGGAGUUGGACUGGAGGACAGACACUUGAGGAGAGAUUGGAAGAGGAACUUGACCCUGAAGGAGCGCUCUCAUGCAGGAGACCUCAGACUGCUUUGCUUUUAGAUAGUCACUGUUGGUCUCCCUAAAAAGUGACUAAGUGAAGUUGAAUGCUACGCCCCAGUUUAAACCCAUUUGGAAGGUGUUGUGCAUUGAGUGGUGUCUUAAUAACCUGAAAGAAUUGAUGUAGCUUCUAGAGUGACUCAAGUAUUCCAGUCAUGUUCCAGGAGAAUCUGCCUCAAGAGUGGGCCUUAACAAUGGGGACUCGUGCCAAGAGAGCCACUCUUCAGGCAACCUCACCAGCUGGGAGCAGCAGAGAGCAGAACCUAGAACCAUCUGCAGGAGGCAUGUGGGAAGAUUGUCCGGCAGAGAAAAAACCUUCCUAUUUGUGACUCUAAAAGACUCAAGACUGACAUUGGAGGAUCUUUUGACCUAAUGGUGGUAGAUCAAGAUUGCUGAUUGGCUCUCUAAUCUGUUCAAUAAACAUUUUUUUCUGA
rnacentral:lncRNA from 1 species